UACGGAGGGCGCGAGCGUUAAUCGGAAUUACUGGGCGUAAAGCGCGCGUAGGCUGUUGUGUAAGUUGGGGGUGGAAUCCCACGGCUCAACCGUGGAACAGCCCUUGAUACUGCGCGACUUGAAUCCAGGAGAGGGUGGCGGAAUUCCAGGUGUAGGAGUGAAAUCCGUAGAUAUCUGGAGGAACAUCAGUGGCGAAGGCGGCCACCUGGACCGGUAUUGACGCUGAGGCGCGAAAGCGUGGGGAGCAAACAGG
rnacentral:rRNA from 1 species